rnacentral:rRNA from 1 species
UACGUAGGGGGGCUAGCGUUGUCCGGAAUCAUUGGGCGUAAAGCGCGUGUAGGCGGCCCGGUAAGUCCGCUGUGAAAGUCGGGGGCUCAACCCUCGGAUGCCGGUGGAUACUGUCGGGCUCGAGUACGGAAGAGGCGAGUGGAAUUCCUGGUGUAGCGGUGAAAUGCGCAGAUAUCAGGAGGAACACCGGUGGCGAAGGCGGGUCUCUGGGCCAAAACUGACGCUGAGGAGCGAAAGCGUGGGAGCGAACAGG